UUAAUCGAAAAGCUUUGGACUUGAGCAAUCCCAACACCAAUCUUUUUGAGAUCGGUGGCGGGUUGCUUGAAAUGCAGGUGCAGCUGGACAUUCUCCUGAGCUAAAAGCAUAUUCAUUUAGUCCCGUCAAACGGAUUAUUACUUUUGCUGCAGCUAACAU
rnacentral:rRNA from 1 species